CAGAGGGUGCAAGCGUUAAUCGGAAUUGCUGGGCGUAAAGCGUGCGUAGUCGGCUUUUCAAGUCGGGUGUGAAAGCCCCGGGCUCAACCUGGGAAUUGCAUUCGAUACUGGAUCGCUAGAGUUCGGCAGAGGGAAGCGGAAUUUCGGGUGUAGCGGUGAAAUGCGUAGAUAUCCGAAGGAACAUCAGUGGCGAAAGCGGCUUCCUGGACCAGAACUGACGAUCAGGCACGAAAGCGUGGGGAGCAAACAGGAUUAGAUACCCUGGUAGUCCACGCCAUAAACGAUGACAACUAGACGUUGGGAGGGUAUGCCUCACAGUGUCGCAGCUAACGCGUUAAGUUGUCCGCCUGGGGAGUACGGCUGCAAGGUUG
rnacentral:rRNA from 1 species